CCUACGGGUCGCACCAGUAGGGAAUCUUCGGCAAUGGACGUAAGUCUGACCGAGCGACGCCGCGUGAGUGAAGAAGGUUUUCGAAUCGUAAAACUCUGUUGUUAGAGAAGAACAAGUAGGAGAGUAACUGCUCUUACCUUGACGGUAUCUAACCAGAAAGCCACGGCUAACUACGUGCCAGCAGCCGCGGUAAUACGUAGGUGGCAAGCGUUGUCCGGAUUUAUUGGGCGUAAAGCGAGCGCAGGCGGUCUUUUAAGUCUGAUGUGAAAGCCCUCGGCUCAACCGUGGAAGGUCAUUGGAAACUGGAGGACUUGAGUGCAGAAGAGGAGAGUGGAAUUCCAUGUGUAGCGGUGAAAUGCGUAGAUAUAUGGAGGAACACCAGUGGCGAAGGCGACUCUCUGGUCUGUAACUGACGCUGAGGCUCGAAAGCGUGGGGAGCAAACAGGAUUAGAUACCCCAGUAGUC
rnacentral:rRNA from 1 species